GGAAGUAGAAGUCGUAACAAGGUUUCCGUAGGUGAACCUGCGGAAGGAUCAUUAUCGUACAAAAUGUGAGGGGCUUGCGAGGGCUGUCGCUGACCCAAAAGUCGUGCACGCCCGAGUGUGUCCUCUUGCAUAAUAAUCCAUCUCACCCUUUGUGCAUCACCGCGUGGGCACCCUUCGGGAUCAUCUCGGAGGGGGGCUCGCGUUUUCACACAAACCCCCCUUUUAAAAGUGUAGAAUGACCACAUUUAUGCAAUCAAUACAACUUUCAACAACGGAUCUCUUGGCUCUC
rnacentral:misc_RNA from 1 species